rnacentral:lncRNA from 1 species
AAUAUGGAGAUCAAAGACCGUGCAGUCAGGGUAUCAGCUAUGAUCUUAUUUAAGAUGGCCAGGGUGAGGACUUAUUGGAUGGUUAAUAGUGCACACUAGAAGAGCUCUGUGACAAAGACCUCUGAAGCCAAAAUGUUAUGAUGAGUGGGGAAAAAUUUAAUUAUUGGGCCAAAGGGGAGACUGCAGCUGAGGGAAAGGGUAAAUAUUUUAGAACCAGAUAUGAUUUCUCAGCAAUUGGUUUCAGACUCUAGAGAAAAUGCAUUCAAUUAAGGACCUGGGGGCAGUGCUACUCC